AAAAAGGAGUGUUUAGUUCCAAUAUUUGCUUCUAUUUUCUUUUAUUUGAUCCUCAUGCUUAGGUGUUAAAUAUUUCUUGUUAAUUAAGUUUUUGCAGAGGGGUGGUUUGGAUAAAAUUUUAAAGGGUGUUCUGGUUAUUAGAUAUUUAGAGGGUCCAACGAAGUGCCAGCAGACGCGGUAAUUCUUUGGCUUGAAUUGGGGGCAUAGCAGUUUAAAAUUUGGGUUUUUAUAGGUAGUAUUAAGUUGUUUAGCUUUAAUAUUGGUGAAAUUUGUUUUAGUUAAAUAUUUUUUUGAUUCUUUAUUAGUUGAGGUUACCCGAAAGUUUAGGGUUUUAACCAGGAUUAGAUACCCUGUUAUUCCUUUUAAAAUUGAAUUCAAGGUGGAUUUUACUGUUUACUGGGCGAUUAGGUUUUUUAACUGAAAGCCGAGGGACUUGGCGGUUGAAUGGUCUGAUUAGAGGGGCUCGAUUCUUUAUUUGAUGGUCCGCGUAGAACCUUACUUGUUUUUGUUAUGUAACAGCUAGCAUAUUACCGCCUAGAUUCACUUGGACAGGUUAGUAUGUUUUCUUUUUGAGGUUUUUCUUUAGGGCAGGUCAAAAUUCUGCCUAUAUACAAGGGGUUUAAUAUUGAGUUACAUUUAGUUAUUUUAAAUUAGGUUUACUUAGGUAAGGAAGGAAGGAAGCAAUGAAAUUUGUUUCUCUUAACUAGGAUUUAAUAGUAAUUUUCUCAUUAGACUGGGUUUAUGAAUUCGGUCAAUUCUUUGUACAAAUCGCCCGUCACGUUGACUAGAUUAUUUUAGUUGGCUAAGUCGUAACAUGGUAGGUAUACGUGAACGUGUACCUGGGUUUAGAAUAAAAUUGUGUUU
rnacentral:rRNA from 1 species